rnacentral:tRNA from 1 species
GCACACUAAUCCUAAGUCGUAACCGGUAGAGCGCUGCCCUCCGAAGGCAGAGGUCACAGGUUCGAAUCCUGUCGGGUGCGCCA